rnacentral:rRNA from 1 species
AGUGAACGCUGGCGGUAGGCCUAACACAUGCAAGUCGAACGGCAGCACAGUAAGAGCUUGCUCUUACGGGUGGCGAGUGGCGGACGGGUGAGGAAUACAUCGGAAUCUACUUUUUCUUGGGGGAUAACGUAGGGAAACUUACGCUAAUACCGCAUACGACCUACGGGUGAAAGCAGUGGAUCUUCGGACCUUUCGCGAUUGAAUGAGCCGAUGUCGGAUUAGCUAGUUGGCGGGGUAAAGGCCCACCAAGGCGACGAUCCGUAGCUGGUCUGAGAGGAUGAUCAGCCACACUGGAACUGAGACACGGUCCAGACUCCUACGGGAGGCAGCAGUGGGGAAUAUUGGACAAUGGGCGCAAGCCUGAUCCAGCCAUACCGCGUGGGUGAAGAAGGCCUUCGGGUUGUAAAGCCCUUUUGUUGGGAAAGAAAAGCAGCAGGUUAAUACCCCGCUGUUCUGACGGUACCCAAAGAAUAAGCACCGGCUAACUUCGUG